rnacentral:pre_miRNA from 1 species
AGAUAUACAGUUGAUGGUGGUAAGAAAUGUGCAUAAUAAAAUUAAAAUGUAUAAUUAAAUUAAAACAAAAUUUUAGUUGAGUGAUAAAUUUAAAGGAUUUUUAAUGCAAUUGACAUGUGUUCAAAUCUCACUAUAGUCAUUUUAUAAUUUCUCUAAUCGAAUUGUUGUCUGAUUAACUUAAUCAGAGAUUUUAUUAGUAGUAUAAAAAACAAUAAAGAGAUUUGAACCUACACCCAUCACAUUGCUAAAAACAUUAUAUUUACCACUUAACCAAACAUUUAUUUUGAUUUUUUAUACAUUUUUAUUUUAUUAUGAAUAUUUUAUUAUCUCCAUCAAUUAUAUUUA